rnacentral:rRNA from 1 species
GACGAACGCUGGCGGCGUGCUUAACACAUGCAAGUCGAACGGAAAGGCCCUGCUUUUGUGGUGUGCUCGAGUGGCGAACGGGUGAGUAACACGUGAGUAACCUGCCCUUGACUUUGGGAUAACUUCAGGAAACUGGGGCUAAUACCGGAUAGGAGCUCCUGCUGCAUGGUGGGGGUUGGAAAGUUUCGGCGGGUGGGGAUGGACUCGCGGCUUAUCAGCUUGUUGGUGGGGUAGUGGCUUACCAAGGCUUUGACGGGUAGCCGGCCUGAGAGGGUGACCGGCAACAUUGGGACUGAGAUACGGCCCAGACUCCUACGGGAGGCAGCAGUGGGGAAUAUUGAACAAUGGGCGGAAGCCUGAUGCAGCAACGCGGCGUGCGGGAUGACGGCCUUCGGGUUGUAAACCGCUUUCGCCUGUGACGAAGCGUGAGUGACGGUAAUGGGUAAAGAAGCACCGGCUAACUACGUG